rnacentral:rRNA from 1 species
UACGAAGGGGACUAGCGUUGUUCGGAAUUACUGGGCGUAAAGCGCACGUAGGCGGAUUUGUUAGUCAGGGGUGAAAUCCCGGGGCUCAACCUCGGAACUGCCUUUGAUACUGCAAAUCUCGAGUCCGAUAGAGGUGGGUGGAAUUCCUAGUGUAGAGGUGAAAUUCGUAGAUAUUAGGAAGAACACCGGUGGCGAAGGCGGCCCACUGGAUCGGUACUGACGCUGAGGUGCGAAAGCGUGAGGAGCAAACAGG